UUUUUUUUUUUUUUUUUUUUUUUUUUUUUUCCAU
rnacentral:ribozyme from 1 species